rnacentral:rRNA from 1 species
GACGAACGCUGGCGGCGUGCCUAACACAUGCAAGUCGAACGGUAAGGCUCGGUUUUUGCGGGGUGCUCGAGUGGCGAAAGCGUGAGUAUCACGUGAGUAACCUGUCCUUGACUUCGGGAUAACUUCAGGAAACUGGGGCUAAUAUCGGACAGGAGCUCCUGCUGCAUGGUGGGGGUGGGAAAGUUUCGCCGGUUGGGGAUGGACUCGCGGUCUAUCAUCUUGUUGGUGGGGUAGUGGCUUACCAAGGCAUCGACGGGUAGCCGGCCUGAGAGGGUGACCGGCCACAUUGGGACUGAGAUGCAGCCCAUACUGCUACGGGGGGCAUCAGUGAAAGAUAGUGCGCAAUGGGCGGAAGGAGUGUACAACGACGCCGCGUGCUAGAUGACGGUCUGCAGGUUGUAACCCGCUUUCGCCUGUGACGAUCAGUAAGUGACGGUAAUGGGUAAAAAAGCACCGGCUAACUACGUG